rnacentral:rRNA from 1 species
AUCUAUGGCCAUGCCACCCUGAACUGCCCAGUCUGGUUUGAUCUUGGAAGCUAAACGGGUCAGACUUGGUUAGUACCCACCUGUAAAUUCCAAUUCUCUACGAUAUAGUUU